CCCUAAUUUCCAAAAUUUAAAACCCUAAACACCCCCCACUGAGCACACAACCCCCACUCAUAAACGUAAUACAUACACACACACGGACAAGAGAGGAGGAAGGAGAAGAGGACGCUGCCGGCGGGUUAGGUGCCGCCGUCGCCGUCGUUGCCAAGCCCGAAGGAGAAAGAGAGUCCGCAAAGGGAGAGUGAGGGACGGAGAAGAGAAGCCGCGCUAACCCCGCAACGCCACUGCGUCGUCGCCUCCAGUUGAGCGGUCGCCAUCAUCGUGCGAGAAAGGAGAAGGAGCCGUCGAGGGGUCGCUGAGCCGCUGCCGUCGCCGUCGCGUUCGUUUCUGUCACAGAAGCUUCCAUUUCCGUCACUUUCAUGUUGCGGAGAGAAAGAACUACGCAUGAGUCAGGGGCCAGGGAAAGGGAGCCACCGCCGUUGCAUCCUGGCUACGCCGCCGUUCAAUUCGUUGUUUCAUCAUGGCCAUGGAGAGGAACGUGAAUGGAAAAGGAAACAGGGAAGCUGCUACUUGGGAUUUGAGGAAAACGGCUCUGUUCUGCCUCGCCUCUAGGUUCUGCAAGUUGCCGGAGUCCUCAGCCGCUGGGAACCAGCACUGGAGCUACCCAGAAUCACUACUGCUGCUGCCAUGGGAGCUGGUAUUGGAACCACUGAUGGAGCUACUGUGUUUAGUGAUUUUCGCGAGUUGUGACAUCGAGAUAUCAAGUGAAGAAGCUAUAGAAACUGCAAAGCAACUAAUGCUUAAAGAAGGCCUGUUUGUAAGUUCCCUAAUAAGAUGCAGAAGACGAGCGAGAAACUUUUUUGGUUGAUGAAGAUGAUGAAGACAAUGACGGGAAUGGGAAUGCCAUUGGUGAGUGGGGAUAUCUGUGCAAUUUAAACAGUUUUGGAAGUGGAGAGCAUCGCCACAAGGGUAGGACAAGUGAGGAGCAGAAGAACAAGGAUAGGACAAGUGAGGAGCAUCGACGGCUGCAGAUUCUCGAACCGAAAUCAAGGGUUGAUAUCGGUUCUUUUCCUUAGGUCUCCACGUAGGGUUGAUAUCAAUUCAAUUUCAGUUUCCAGCAAAGGUUAAAAAUAUCUCUGCUUAGGGUUUUAGCACUUUACAAAGGUUCCAACGAUGGCUUUCUUUGGUUGAAUUGGGAAUUUACUCAGAAAUGCUGCAAACAAGCAGAUCAGUUCAGAAUUGCUCCCAUCCCCAUCUAUUCUCCAGGAAAUACGGUGCAUAUCAUCUGCUCCAAACUCAAAACUGUUCAUUGGAGGUAUUUCAUAUUCUACUGAUGAGUAAGGUUUGAGGGAGGCAUUUCAAGAUAUGGAGAAGUUGUUGAUGGUACAUACAAUUACUCAUUUUUUCCUAUGCAGACUCGAUCCAUGGCAGGGAAACCCUUUUGUUUGAGGAGACUCAGAAAAAGCAGCAUUGUUCUUAUUCUGAAGAGUUUGCAACUCCCGAGAGAGCUUGAAUGAACAAGACUCAGAAUUUAUAGGAAGAAAUGCUGAUUCUGGUUCAAACUUGAGGCCUCAGAAUUUAUAGGAAGCAGCAUUGUUCCAAAAAUAUGAUGAAGAAAUGUCCCUGUUAGACAGAAUUAGUGCACAGAAACUUGAGGAAACAGAGUAUUUAAGAUCCAUGGAAGCCUCUCCAAGAUCAAUUUCAGAGCGUAUUUGCAUCAAGUGUGAAGAAGAAAGCAUGUGAUAUAGGUCACAAUAACCCAUAUGGUGAACUAGAGGCCGCUUAUGUUGCUGGAAUUAUUGGGUGAUUGUGUUGUGGAUGUUGGAGCUAUGUUGCAAUAGCUACUAUUAUUAUUCUCCAUCUGGUUGAAGCUGCUGCAGGUUCCAUCACUGACUACUGGAGAGGAUGCUACUAAUGUUGGCAACAAUUGAUGAAGAGUGAGGGUCUCUUGGCCGGAAUUAGUCUAUCACAUUAUAAUAAAGCUUCCAGUUUAGUGUUUCAAUAAACACUCUCACAUUCUUUUGUUAUUAUAUUUUUUGCAAACUUAGAUGAUAUUGUGGAUCUUACAACAAUUUUUAUAAAUUUGAUGGGAAAUGUUCAAAUUUUUUUC